UGGGGAAACACCGGUUCCCGUACGAUUACCGAGGUUAAGCAGUGUUGAGCCUGGUCAGUAGCUAAAUAAGUGACUGUUUAGGAAUACUAGGUGAUGUAGG